AACCACAUCCCUCCUCUAAAGAAGCACCUGGGAGCACAGCUCAUCACCAUGGACUGGACCUGGAGGUUCCUCUUUGUGGUGGCAGCAGCUACGGGUGUCCAGUCCCAGGUCCAGCUGGUGCAGUCUGGGGCUGAGGUGAAGAAGCCUGGGUCCUCAGUGAAGAUCUCCUGCAAGGUUUCUGAAGACACCUUCAGCAGCUAUGCUAUCAGCUGGGUGCGACAGGCCCCUGGACAAGGGCUUGAGUGGAUGGGAGUGAUCAUUCCUGUUGCUGGUAUAACAAACUACGCACAGAAGUUUCAGGGCAGAGUCACGAUUACUGCGGACACAUCCACGAGCACAGCCCACAUGGAGCUGAGCAGCCUGAGAUCUGAGGACACGGCCGUGUAUUACUGUGCAACAGACACAGUGUGACAACCCACAUCCUGAGAGUGUCAGAAACCCUGAGGAAGGAGGCAGCUGUACUGGGGCUGAGGAGAUGACAGGAUUUAUGAGGUUUAAACGUAUUUAGAAAGUGGGUUAAGUAAUUGAGUAAAACAGCAAUGGAAAGAUGUGUACACUGUCAUUAUGUAGGAAGUAGUAUUUUCUACUGUCACCC